CUACGGGACGCACCAGUGGGGAAUAUUGGACAAUGGGGGAAACCCUGAUCCAGCAACGCCGCGUGAACGAAGAAGUCCUUCGGGAUGUAAAGUUCUUUUAAAUGGGAAGAAGAAAGUGACGGUACCAUAGGAAUAAGCCCCGGCUAACUACGUGCCAGCAGCCGCGGUAAGACGUAGGGGGCAAGCGUUACCCGGAAUCACUGGGCGUAAAGGGAGCGUAGGCGGCCAAACAGGUCAUAUGUUAAAGACGACGGCUUAACCGGAGAAAUGCAUAUGAAACCGUAUGGCUUGAGGAUAUCAGAGGAAAAGGGAAUUACCAUUGUAGGGGUGAAAUCCGUAGAGAGUGGUAAGGAUGCCGGUGGCGAAGGCGCUUUUCCGGGGUAAACCUGACGCUGAGGCUCGAAAGCUAGGGGAGCGAACCGGAUUAGAUACCCGUGUAGUC
rnacentral:rRNA from 1 species